UAUUAAAAAACAGCUUUAAAAAAAAAAAAAAAAAAAAAAACUUGAAAUAGGAACUUCACCGUCUCUUAAGAGCGAUAUAUUUAAUACAUUCACAAGAUUCGAAAUGAAAAACAAACAUUAUUCAUGCUACAGGUUUUUAAUUUUCCUUGGACAACACCAAAAACACAGUACUCAAACGGCAUGUUUUUUUUUUGUUUUUUUGGUUUCUUUUUGAGAUGGAAUUUCACUCUUGUUGCCCAGGCUGGAGUGCAAUGGUGUGAUCUUGGCUCACUGCAACCUCCGCCUCCCGGGUUCAAGAGAUUCGCCUGCCUCACAGGCGCCCACCGCCACACCUGGAUAAUUUUUGUUUUUUGUUUUUUUUUUUGAGACGGUGUCUCACUCUGUCGCCCAGGUUAGAGUGCAGUGGCACCAUCUCAGCUCACUGCAAGCUCCGCCUUCCAGGUUCAUGCCAUUCUCCUGCCUCAGGCUCUCGAGUAGCUGGGACUACAGGCGCUCACCACCACGCCCGCCUAAUUUUUUCUAUUUUUUAAUAGAGACGGGGUUUCACCCGUGUUAGCCAGGAUGGUCUCGAUUUCCUGACCUCGUGAUCCACCCGCCUAGGCCUCCCAAAGUGCUGGGAUUACAGGCAUGAGCCGCCGCGGCCGGCAAUUUUUGUAUUUUAAGUGGAGAUGAGGAGCUAAAAUCAGUUGAAAUUCGGAGUAGAAGGAAAACUGGAGUGUCUCAUUCACUUCACUCUGAUUUGAAUUUUUUUUUUUUUUUGAGACAAGAGUAUUGCUCUGUCACACAGGCUGGAGUACAAUGGUGCGAUAUCAGCUCACUGCAAUCUUCGCCUCCUGGGUUCAAGUGAUUCUCCUGCCUCAGCCUCCUGAGUAGCUAGGAUUACAGGCAUGCGCCACCACACCCAGCUAAUUCUUGUAUUUUUUAGUAGAAAUGGGGUUUUACCAUGUUGGCCAGGCUGGUCUCGAACUCCUGACCUCAGGUG
rnacentral:lncRNA from 1 species